UGUAUAAUCUUGAAAUUAAAGCAGCAAGCUGUUUUAGUUGCUGAAAUGGAAUCUGAUAUCGGUGAGAAGCUAUUGCAAACGAGGGAGACUCAGAAA